UGGCCCUGGCCUGGGUGGGUGGGGGUCCCCCGGGGAGCACAGCGCAGUGCUAGGGCCCCUGUAGCAGAUUCCCAGGAGACACACACCCAGCUGGGCCUGCUGACACUAGCCCUGCAUUCCCACACCCCCUCCCCUGGCCCUCUCAGCUGCCUUGUCCUCUCCUGGUCAGCUGCCUGGGGACACUGUCACGAUGCCUGGCCCCUGACCUUGCCCGAAGCUCCUCGGUGUCUGGACAUUCAGCCCGACAUGCUCUGAGGUUUGGGGCAGGUCCAGCACUCUGUGGGUCCACCCCAUCAGCCCUCAGGGUGGGACUCAUGCAGCCACAGUUUGAGAGUUCCAGGAACCACAAGUCCUGAGUCAGCGGGCACCUGACCCCUUAUGUCACCUGCCCCAGGUGGAAGGAGACGCUACAGGGACCAAGCAUGCCCCACCUUCGCUUCCGGGACCACAGAGCCCCUGGAGCCUGCACGCCACGGAGUCUCCCACUGAGGAGUGAGGAGGCCUCUUGUGGGGACAGAUCUGGAAUGAGUGGCAUCCAAACCUGACUCAUAUUUCCAACUUUAUUAAUUUUUGCAAGACUUCGGAGGGUGCUCUGUGGCGAUUAAUAUUGCUGAGCUGAGCACAGCUGCAGUACUUUCCUGUAAAACUGACUAAAGGAGAAGUUGGUGUCUUCCUCAUACAAGAAAUACAUAAAUCAGUUAAAAAUAGUUCUCCGAGCGGAUAUGAUGAUGUCGUGGCCGUCACAGGAAACACAUGAAUCAGCCUCAUCCUCAGUUCCAGGGAAGUGGGGACAGUCGGUGGUCCUUGGACCCCUCUUGGGGCGCGUGGGUGAGGCAGGGUCCCUCUGGCUUUACCUCAUACCCGGACUGGCAAAGCUGCCUGGGAGGACAACUAAAACCAUGCUCCUUUGAUUCUGUGGACAUUGCUAAUUGCUGGGCGUUCAUUUCUUGAAUUCAGACCUUCUCAUGAACCAGAGGAGCUGGCUCAGAAAAAUGCCGGUGACGCAUGGGCCUGAACUGGUCAGUGCAGCUCAGAGAUGCUCGCCGUGGGGGACGUGCAGUUUGCCUGUGGGCCAGUUGUCCACCCGUCACCGUUACCCCGCUGAGGAAGCUGUGGGUGCCACCCAGAGAGCUUGGGUACAACACGGUCUCUGCUUUACUCAUAAAAAGCCAAGACCUAUGUGGUCAUGGAGCGUUAAAACAGAAAUUUCACACCACGCCGUACGGUCCCCGAGGCCAGGGUGUUGGCACAUUUCACAUCCAGGAGGUGCCGUCGCUGUCACUGGCUCAGCAAAGCCAGUGCCGAAGCCACUGCAACUGCCUGAGGCCCAGCGGUGGCUGGGAGCCAAUUGGUGUCACUCGGUUACCACAGGGAAGGAGACGUGGCUGUAGAGGCUUGUCGCAGGUCACAGAGAAGGGACUUUUGGGCUCCAGGCCUAGUGGGUUCGAGUCAGCACGGUGUCUUCCCCGACACCAAACCCAAGGACCCUCAGCACUUCCUGACCUCAGGUUUCUAUUUCUAGGGUGGGGAGUAGAGGUGAAGGGAAGCAAAGUCAGAGUUGAAUAUAAAGCUCCAGAAAAACUCAGCUCAGAAUUGACUAGAGGGUUGAGAGCCUGAGAUCCCUAAGGGGACAUGUCAACCCAGGGCAGCCGCUGAGGGAGACUGACAUGGUUUCCAUGGUCCUUCCACUGGGCUGGGGCCCUCCCUGGGGAGUCUGUGCUGGGCUGGACCUUCUUCCCUGCCAGUGGCCUCUCCUGGCUGGUUGGGGAGCUCCGGGGGAGCAGACGGCAAGAGUCUUGUUUGGAAACAUGCCCUUCCCAGGAAAUCCCCAAAACAAAACCUGAGAAGAUCUCCUGGAAGCUCAAAAGCAAUUUUCUUUUCAUAUGUCGGGCCAAUAAGAGUUAAUUUCACCCAGUUUCUAUAUUUUCAUGGGUCCUUAGAAGCUUUCUGACCCUGUGCCCUGAGACUUAGGGUCUGAUGGCUGAAGGAACCUUGGUCCCAGGUCCCUCUCCUGUGGAGGGGCCGUCAGAGGGAGAGAAGAGCUCGCCCUGGUUCACUUGGCCUGUCCUGAAAGAGAACCAGGAGGGAGAGCAGCCUAGCAUGGGUGCACACAAGCAUAUGUACAAACAUGUGCUAGGGCAACUCACACACGUCCACAUGCAUGCACAUACACACAUGCCCACACCCAUGCACACUUAUGUGUGCACACAGAUUCAGACUGUACCUGUACACUUCCACACUUCCACAUGCAUGCACAUACACACAUGCCCACACCCAUGCACACUUGUGUGUGCACACACAGAUUCAGACUGUACCUGUACACUUACUUCCACAUGCAUGCACAUACAUGUCCACGCCCAUGCACACUUGUAUGUGCUUGCACAGAUUCACACGUGUACAUGCACACACACAUUAGCAUGUCCUUGCAUAUGCACACAUACACACAUCUGACUUCACAUUACAUACACACAUGUACAUGCACAUACAUGACACACAUGGCUCGAACUGGAGGGGAGGGUCCCAGUUGCUCCCCUCGCCUGACCAUCUAGUAAGUGUUGUGCCCCAUGCUGCCCCAUCCUGGGCUCCUGGCCAGGCUCUAAGAUUAACUAGAGAGGCUCUGUCCCUAAGAAAGGUCAUGCACUUCAGGGUAGGUAAGGUGGACAGGCAAGGCCUGGUGACCUCGGCCCAUCCUUGUGCCUCCAGAAGCCGUAACUCACCUCAAAGAGGUUUUCCUGCUGGAGGGAACUAUCUCUGAGCAACAGGGGCAGACUUCACAGCUCAGGCGCCCUCCUGAAGGUAAGAGGCACUGGGCUCGCCUAUCAAAGACACUCUCCUGUCCCCGCAGGUUCCCAUAUGUCCCAUCAGGGAGCUGGGCUCCAAAGUCUCCCGCCCUGCUUCUCCUAGAGAAUGCAAAGGCUGCCUCUCUUCCCUCCCAGUGUAACCUGACCCUCCUCUGUGCCCCUUGGCCACCCUUGCAUCCUCUAGCUCCUUCUGACACCUUCUUUUUGACUGUUCACAGAGGGCAGGAUCUGAAGCCUGCAGAGGUGACCCUUGGUGCCUUGUGCAAGGCUGGCCAGCAAGUAAGCAUGACUUUUGGCUCUGCUGCCAGCUGGGCCAUUUGAUCUACACACACUUUUCUGCCUCUACCUGGAGUUAGGCGAGGCUCUCUAUAGAAUGGGUACUUGUCAACAAAGUGGGCUUAGACUCCGGGCAGUAGCAGUUGAGGCAGGAGCAGUGGGAGAAGUCUGGGCUAAUGGCAAGCACCCAGUCCCCUCUGUGAGCUGCCCACUUGUCCCAGGCUCUGCCAUGGCCCUUCCUCUGAUUUUUAGGAGCUUUCAUGAGGCCUCGCACAGCCUGAAGGAGCAGAGCUUGUUGUGCUAAUCCCCAGCAUCCUCUGCAGAGUUCUCAACACCUUGUGGCCGAAAGGUCCUUCAGAUUGUCCAGGCACCCACCCCGAAAACCAGCCCUGGCAUGGGGGUGCUGACCCCUCCCGGAGCAGUGGGGUGCAGGGCUCAUAAGGCGGGGUCUGCAAAGCAUGCUGGGGUCUUGCUCUGUGCUUACUCCAAGGAUGCAGCCCGGAGUGCCACUGCUCUUGGACUUUCCUUGAGACACCCAGAGCAUUGUGUGGCCAUCACUUCUCACGUGGUCUGGCUGCUUGGGGGGCUGGCCUGAGUCAGCUAGGGCCAGUGCUCACCUUAUCCUAAUCACCUACUGGGGGAUUUUGUAGGCUUGACCCUCCAUGCCCUGGUGUU